CUACGGGCUGCUGCAGUGAGGAAUUUUGCGCAAUGGGGGGAACCCUGACGCAGCAACGCCGCGUGAGUGAUGAAGGCUUUCGGGUCGUAAAGCUCUGUCAAGUGGGAAGAACCUAUGCAGUGUUAAUAUCACUGUAUACUGACGGUACCACUGAAGGAAGCACCGGCUAACUCCGUGCCAGCAGCCGCGGUAAUACGGGGGGUGCAAGCGUUAUUCGGAAUCAUUGGGCGUAAAGGGCACGUAGGCGGCUUGGUAAGUCAGAUGUGAAAGCCCGGGGCUUAACCCCGGAAGUGCAUUUGAUACUGUCAGGCUUGAGUAUGGGAGAGGGAAGUGGAAUUCCUGGUGUAGAGGUGAAAUUCGUAGAUAUCAGGAGGAACACCGGUGGCGAAGGCGACUUCCUGGACCAAUACUGACGCUGAGGCGCGAAGGCGUGGGUAGCAAACAGGAUUAGAUACCCGCGUAGUC
rnacentral:rRNA from 1 species